UAAUUCAUCUGCAAACUUAAUUCCUUUUGGCAGGUAAACUAAAAUAUUUGUGGAUUCUCUGGAUGACAACAUGAACAUUUUUGGAGUGGUUGUUGUUCUGCCUAUAAUGAGUAGUUACUGAGCUGGAGUGGAUGGAUACAAGAGUUGAUUAACAAGAGCACAUGUGAUGCUAUAGUCCAGGAGGCCCUUACCAGACCUGAGCUGAUACCAGCACCAUGCCACUGCACCUCCAGAAUGAACCAGCCCUACAUGAGCCUCUCUUAUCAUCACAGAGGAAAAGAGAAAAAGAAUGGUCAAAAUGUGCAAUGGCUCUUACAGCUUUUGUACAUAUGUCAUUAAAUUAUAUCCCCUCACGCACCAUUGGAUAAAGCAACUCAUAUGGCCAAGCUCACUGGAGUUGAGGAUAUACAAUCCUUUAUGCUCCAGACUCAAGCAAUCACAUUCAAAAUUUUGAGAUCUCUGAGGUGCCCCUUGCCCAUGAGAGACAACUACUAACUAAAUUGGUCUGAUGGUGAAUUAUCUGAGCAACUGCCAUAGAAAUGCUCUACAGCCAGUGGAGACUAAAGAGAUAACACAAUCCUGUACAGCACUGAACACUGAAGAUCCGGUGGAACAUUGGUAAAGCUAUUACAGAAUCCCUCCAAGGGUGACAGCUCCAAAUCUCACUCGGGGGCUGCCUCCAACCUGAAGCAGGAGAUCUCCUGGGCAUGGGAGAAGCUGGGCAUGGCUCCUCUGGUCCUCAGCCUGCUGACAGAGCGAUACAAGACAUCCGCCUUCUCAUCGUACCUGGGAUGCAGUAGCAGGACACAGAAGGGAAUCUCAUACUUGAUUUAUAUUUUCCAGGGCAAUAGAGGAACCACAGAAGAGUUAAUGUCCCAUAGAAACUCUGAAAUCCUGCAGAGAGGGCCAAAAAGUAGUCAAAAGUUCCCUAGCAUGAGGAGCUGGUCAUUCAUUAGACUCUUCUGCUUUCUGAAACAAACAUAUCUGUCCACUGUUCAACUUGACCCUAGCUCUGGGGCAGAUAUUUUCUUAUAUAGCCAAAUUUGAAAUUGGAUUUCAGGGAUAUUAGCUCCUUGAGAAACCUUUUAUCACUGCUCUUGACUUCUGAAAGUCUUCUUGUUUCUUCAUAACAAAAAUAAACUAAUUUGAGAAACACACAGCACUGGAUCUGCUAAAACAAGAGCCAAAGGUAGCAUUGCAGCAUCAAAUCAGAAGGGUUGGGUAGAGCAUAGUUUGCCAGCACUAAUAAGUAUCUGAAUUUCCUGUCUCCCUAAACAUAUAGGCUAACAACUUUGAGCACCUUAGAGACAGGUCUGUACCAUGUAACUGAGAUGGAGCCCCAUGCUUAAAAUGACAUAAGCCACAUCCUGAAAAUGAGUCCAUACUUGAGGGCAGGGACAGAAUACACGUGCUCACUCUUAGAGGAAUUUUUACAAAACAAACUAAAUCUAAAGUAUUCUGUCACUGACACCUUAAUACACUGGUAAAUAUUUCAGUUGGAGGAAUUAAGCUAGCCCUAACUAUAAUAAUGGACCUAUCAAGUUCAUGAAAUAAUUUUCCCCUCUGAUUAAAAUAACCGCUUCUAAACUCAAAUAUGGGUUUGUCUUUCAGCUCAGGAUUUGGAGAAUGAGCAACUGUUGAGAUAUUGUCAUGUAUCAGGUGCUUUAAAUGUUUAAAAGUAUUAAAGUCUAGAUUAUAAAAUCUAUUUAAAUGAGUGAAGAGAGUUAAAUAGAUAUGCUGACAAAACAAAGAUAAUAAAUCUUAAA